rnacentral:miRNA from 1 species
UGUUUUAUUUGCCUUCCUGUUU